AAGGCUAUAACUGAGGAAGAAGAAAUUCCUUCCCUUGAAGCAGCUCUUGAGAUACUGUAUAAAGAAAAACAAGCUGAUCGACCGAUUGAACAGAUUGCAUUCUUUGUGACCGAAGACUGGAAACUAUAUUUGCGAUAUUAUCCACCUCAAAUUUCGAAGUUGAAGUAGAGUCAUCUGUUUGAGAUAAAAUCUCAAAUAACGCCAUGAAAGUUCCCGUUCUGCCACAACCCGCUGAACAAUGGACUAUAAUGGGUGCUGUUUCAAAGUCCGGAGAAUAUGAGAGACUUUUUAUAUAGCGAGUCAGUGAUAGUAGUGAGAAGGUAUGUGGUGCACCAAAGUCAGGCCAACCGUUAUAGUAAAAAUGCAAAAUUUUUUUCUUGACCCCGUCCUUGUUCAGCUCAAAUUCACGAACUUGAACUUCAUUUAAUGAUGUCAAAGUAUAAACUUUUACCAAAAUAACGCUUAAAUCACCGAUAUUAAGUGUCUCAAACAGUUCCACUGGCCAAUAGAUAUCACAUUUCAGACGAUGGCGUUCCCUCAAUUUGGUAAGCAUAACGAUGAUGCCUGAUUUUGGCACAGAUUGCCAGACCAUCUUCCAAAAAACAUCAAUACUGUUCGACGUUGGACCCUAUAUAAAUAAAGAAGACUAAGUUAGUAAUUAUGUUACAAAAAAUGAUGAAAAGAAAAAAGGCCAAAGCCGUUUACAAUCCCGCAAUUUCUUUUUAUUCCUAACCUGAGUAGCGAUAAAUGUUUUCCCAGAAGGGAUUUUUACUAUGGAAGCAUUAAUGUAAUCACAUGCUUCUUUCCACAUUGGAUCUAAACGAACACGAGUAUUUUCAUAAGGGACUAUGUUGGAGUAUCGGUUUCUAGCCAGCGCUUUCUUACUUAGCUUUGGCAACCUAGUAUUUAACAGCUCUAUCUCUUCCUCAUUGAGUCCCUCAAUAAUCAUGUACGCUUUUUCUUUUAUUGUGAUCAAGGGUGUUAGAACACCAUUUUCUGUAGAUACUUCUUUAAAAGACAUAUUGAUUUUUUGCGUUUAUU